GAUGAACGCUGGCGGCGUGCCUAAUACAUGCAAGUAGAACGCUGAAGGAGGAGCUUGCUCUUCUGGAUGAGUUGCGAACGGGUGAGUAACGCGUAGGUAACCUGCCUGGUAGCGGGGGAUAACUAUUGGAAACGAUAGCUAAUACCGCAUGACAACAGUUAUUGCAUGAUAACUGUUUAAAAGGGGCAACUGCUCCACUACCAGAUGGACCUGCGUUGUAUUAGCUAGUUGGUGAGGUAACGGCUCACCAAGGCGACGAUACAUAGCCGACCUGAGAGGGGGAGCGGCCACGCUGGGACUGAGGCACGGCCCAGACUCCUACGGGAGGCAGCAGUAGGGAAUCUUCGGCAAUGGACGGAAGUCUGACCGAGCAACGCCGCGUGAGUGAAGAAGGUUUUCGGAUCGUAAAGCUCUGUUGUAAGAGAAGAACGAGUGUGAGAGUGGAAAGUUCACACUGUGACGGUAUCUUACCAGAAAGGGACGGCUAACUACGUG
rnacentral:rRNA from 1 species